rnacentral:tRNA from 1 species
GGAGAGAUGGCUGAGUGGUUUAUAGCGUAAGAUUGCUAAUCUUUUGUAUUUUCUUAUUAAAUACCGAGGGUUCGAAUCCCUCUCUCUCCU